UGGGGAAUAUUGGACAAUGGGCGCAAGCCUGAUCCAGCCAUGCCGCGUGAGUGAUGACGGCCUUAGGGUUGUAAAGCUCUUUCGACGGGGACGAUAAUGACGGUACCCGUAGAAGAAGCCCCGGCUAACUUCGUGCCAGCAGCCGCGGUAAUACGAAGGGGGCUAGCGUUGUUCGGAAUCACUGGGCGUAAAGCGCACGUAGGCGGAUUGUUAAGUCGGGGGUGAAAUCCUGAGGCUCAACCUCAGAACUGCCUCCGAUACUGGCAAUCUCGAGUUCGGAAGAGGUUGGUGGAACAGCUAGUGUAGAGGUGAAAUUCGUAGAUAUUAGCUAGAACACCAGUGGCGAAGGCGGCCAACUGGUCCGACACUGACGCUGAGGUGCGAAAGCGUGGGGAGCAAACAGGAUUAGAUACCCCCGUAGUCC
rnacentral:rRNA from 1 species